rnacentral:rRNA from 1 species
CAGUUCGGACUGUAGUCUGCAACCCGACUACACGAAGCUGGAAUCGCUAGUAAUCGCGAAUCAGAAUGUCGCGGUGAAUACGUUCCCGGGUCUUGUACACACCGCCCGUCACACCAUGGGAGUCGGGAAUGCCCGAAGUCAGUGACCCAACCUUUGGAGGGAGCUGCCGAAGGCAGGUCUNAUAAUGGGGUGAAGUCGUAACAAGGUAGC